rnacentral:rRNA from 1 species
GAUGAACGUUGGCAACGUGCCUAAGAUAUGCAAGUCGAGCGGGCAUCUUCGGGUGUCAGCGGCGGACGGGUGAGUAACGCGUGGGAACGUGCCUUCUGGUUCGGAAUAACUCAGGGAAACUUGAGCUAAUACCGGAUACGCCCUUUUGGGGAAAGGUUUACUGCCGGAAGAUCGGCCCGCGUCUGAUUAGCUAGUUGGUGGGGUAACGGCCUACCAAGGCGACGAUCAGUAGCUGGUCUGAGAGGAUGAUCAGCCACACUGGGACUGAGACACGGCCCAGACUCCUACGGGAGGCAGCAGUGGGGAAUAUUGGACAAUGGGGGCAACCCUGAUCCAGCCAUGCCGCGUGAGUGAUGAAGGCCUUAGGGUUGUAAAGCUCUUUUAUCCGGGACGAUAAUGACGGUACCGGAGGAAUAAGCCCCGGCUAACUUCGUGCCAGCCGCCGCCGUAA